rnacentral:lncRNA from 1 species
ACCUACUUGCCCUUUCAAUAUCAUUUGUAUUUUAAAGACCAUAACACCAGUAGUGAAGAUCCCGUGGAUAUAUCUUCAUAUCUUCGGAACAGGUGUGUAUCAAAUUAUAGCUCUUCAAGCUAUUUGCGGUUUGUGUAGCGCGGGAACAGGUUCGUACAGGUUCGCCGCCGCCGUCAAGGCUACCUCAUCGCACCACGCGAAACAAGUUGCCAGCUCGCUUUACGCAUGACGGCUCCGUGUAGCAUCUGCCUAUCUCUCUCUCAUUUAUGUAUAACGUAUCUUGUCGCACUCUUCUACGCCCGCAUCAAGGCCGGCGGCCGCUCGGUCUGCGCCACCGCCGCCGCCGGGCCGCGAGCGCAAUUUAGUCGAGUAACCGAAAGAGUCACGAACGGUACAGACGCUAGUCUGUUGUUUUGUCCGUUUAAUUUUGUAUUUGUCCAUGAUUAUUUCUUUUGUUAUAAAUCAACACCUAAAUUGGUCACAGUUUUGUCAUUUAGUGCUUUAAAACGAAAAUACAGUGAUUACCAUACUUACAAUCAACAA